AGUGAACGCUGGCGGUAGGCCUAACACAUGCAAGUCGAACGGCAGCACAGUAAGAGCUUGCUCUUACGGGUGGCGAGUGGCGGACGGGUGAGGAAUACAUCGGAAUCUACUUUUUCGUGGGGGAUAACGUAGGGAAACUUACGCUAAUACCGCAUACGACCUACGGGUGAAAGCAGGGGAUCUUCGGACCUUGCGCGAUUGAAUGAGCCGAUGUCGGAUUAGCUAGUUGGCGGGGUAAAGGCCCACCAAGGCGACGAUCCGUAGCUGGUCUGAGAGGAUGAGCAGCCACACGGGGACUGAGGCAAGGCCGAGACGACAACGGGAGGAAGCAGAGGGGGAGGUGGGACAAGGGGUGGGAGUCUGAUGCAGCUUUUCAGGGUGAGGGAAGAAGGCCUUCGGGUUGUCAGCGGAUUUGGUGCGGGAAGAAAACCUAGGGGCUCAUAACCCGGGGGGAGGACGGUAGGUGAAGGAUAAGAAAAGGAUAGUGACGUG
rnacentral:rRNA from 1 species